rnacentral:rRNA from 1 species
AUUGAACGCUGGCGGCAGGCUUAACACAUGCAAGUCGGGCGGAGAUGAGGUGCUUGCACCUUAUCUUAGCGGCGGACGGGUGAGUAAUGCUUAGGAAUCUGCCUAUUAGUGGGGGACAACAUUCCGAAAGGAAUGCUAAUACCGCAUACGUCCUACGGGAGAAAGCAGGGGAUCACUUGUGACCUUGCGCUAAUAGAUGAGCCUAAGUCGGAUUAGCUAGUUGGUGGGGUAAAGGCCUACCAAGGCGACGAUCUGUAGCGGGUCUGAGAGGAUGAUCCGCCACACGGGGACUGAGACACGGCCCAGACUCCUACGGGAGGUAGCAGUGGGGAAUAUUGGACAAUGGGGGGAACCCUGAUCCAGCCAUGCCGCGUGUGUGAAGAAGGCCUUAUGGUUGUAAAGCACUUUAAGCGAGGAGGAGGCUCUUUUGGUUAAUACCCAAGAUGAGUGGACGUUACUCGCAGAAUAAGCACCGGCUAACUCUGUGCCAGCAGCCGCGGUAA